UACAGAGGGCGCGAGCGUUAAUCGGAAUUACUGGGCGUAAAGGGCGCGUAGGCGGCCGCAUAAGUCGGUUGUGAAAUCCCAGGGCUUAACCUUGGAACUGCAAUUGAUACUGUGUGGCUAGAGUCGAAGAGAGGGGGGCGGAAUUUCCGGUGUAGCGGUGAAAUGCGUAGAUAUCGGAAGGAACACCUGUGGCGAAGGCGGCCCUCUGGCUUCAGACUGACGCUGAGGCGCGAAAGCGUGGGUAGCGAACAGG
rnacentral:rRNA from 1 species